GGGUGAUCGGCCACAUUGGAACUGAGACACGGUCCAAACUCCUACGGGAGGCAGCAGUGGGGAAUAUUGCACAAUGGGCGAAAGCCUGAUGCAGCAACGCCGCGUGAGUGAUGAAGGCCUUCGGGUCGUAAAACUCUGUCCUCAAGGAAGAUAAUGACGGUACUUGAGGAGGAAGCCCCGGCUAACUACGUGCCAGCAGCCGCGGUAAUACGUAGGGGGCUAGCGUUAUCCGGAUUUACUGGGCGUAAAGGGUGCGUAGGCGGUCUUUCAAGUCAGGAGUGAAAGGCUACGGCUCAACCGUAGUAAGCUCUUGAAACUGGGAGACUUGAGUGCAGGAGAGGAGAGUGGAAUUCCUAGUGUAGCGGUGAAAUGCGUAGAUAUUAGGAGGAACACCAGUUGCGAAGGCGGCUCUCUGGACUGUAAC
rnacentral:rRNA from 1 species